UACAGAGGUCUCAAGCGUUGUUCGGAUUCAUUGGGCGUAAAGGGUGCGUAGGCGGCGCGGUAAGUCGGGUGUGAAAUCUCGGAGCUUAACUCCGAAACUGCAUUCGAUACUGCCGUGCUUGAGGACUGGAGAGGAGACUGGAAUUUACGGUGUAGCGGUGAAAUGCGUAGAUAUCGUAAGGAACACCAGUGGCGAAAGCGGCUCUCUGGUCCAAAACUGACGCUGAGGGGCGAAAGCGUGGGGAGCGAACGGG
rnacentral:rRNA from 1 species